ACAAGGAAUCUCCAUGCUCUAACACCCACCUUCAGAAGAUUGGCACUGCCGAGAUGUCCUCUGUUCUCAAAGAGGGUAUUCUUGGAGUUGAUAUUUCUGUUGACCUUGAAGAAACUCUGUGUGUCUUUAGUAUUGGUGGUGGAAUUGCCCAACUUCAUGGGCUGAGGAAUGUUCAAGCAGAAGAAAUGGUAGAGUUUUCUUCAGGCUUAAUGGAUAUGUCUCCCAACUUAGAACCAGGCCAUGUUGGUGUCGUCAUGUUCAGAAAUGAUAAACUAAUUAAAGCAGGAGAUAUUGUAAAGAGAACAGGAGCCAUUGUGGAUGUUCCAGUUGGUGAGGAACUGUUGGGUCAUGUAGUAGAUGCCCUUGGUAAUGCCAUUGAUAGAAAGGGUCCAGUUGGUUCCAAGACCCAUAGGCGAGUGGGCCUGAAAGCCUCUGGAAUCAUUCCUCAAAUCUCUGUCAGGGAACCAAUGCAGACUGGCACGGAGACUGUGGAUAGCUUGGUGCUAACUGGAUGUGGUCAACGUGAGCUGAUCAGUAGGGACAGACUGGGAAAACAGCAAUCGCUAUUGACACAAUUAUUAUCCAGAAACGUUUCAAUGAUGGACCUGAUGAAAAAAAGAAGCUGUAUUGUAUCUAUGUUGCUACUGGUCAAAAGUGAUCCACUGUUGCCCAGUUGGUAAAGAGACUUACAGACGCAGACGCUCUAAAGUACACCAUUGCGGUGUCAGCCACUGCUUCUGAUGCUGCCCCACGUCAGCACCUGGCUCCUUACUCUGGCUGUUGUACAGAAGAACAUUUGAGAGAUAAUGCCUUGAUCAUCUCUGAUGACUUAUCCAAAUAG